CUCUUUUUCCGGGUCAUAAGCAUGAUAAUUGGGUGUUAACACCAUGGUGUGAGAUGUGCCUCCCUUAAACUUGGUUAUAAUGUUGGCACAUUACCCUUCUGACA